UACGUAGGGGGCAAGCGUUGUCCGGAAUCAUUGGGCGUAAAGAGCGUGUAGGCGGCCAGAUAAGUCCGCUGUGAAAUCUCGAGGCUCAACUUCGAGCUGUCGGUGGAAACUGUCUGGCUAGAGUCCGGAAGAGGAGAAUGGAAUUCCUGGUGUAGCGGUGAAAUGCGCAGAUAUCAGAAAGAACACCCGUGGCGAAGGCGGUUCUCUGGGACGGUACUGACGCUGAGACGCGAAAGCGUGGGGAGCGAACAGG
rnacentral:rRNA from 1 species